AGUGCAGGAGGCCAAUGCUGCCCGCAGCAGGGCACUUCUUCACUUAAUGCAUCCACAGGGAGCAAUCGUGCGGGGAGUGGCGGAGCGCUGGGAGGAAGCGCGCCGCAGGCUGAGCCGAGCAAUGCCAGGGAACACCUUCGCUGCUGAUAAAUAAAAGAGAAAUAUGCUUCCUGCUCGGCUGCGGUGAUUGCAGCAUACAUCAGAAUUACAGCGCUGCUGGCAGGCUGUGCAGAGCAUGGUGCUGACAGAUCCCCGCGUGGAGACGGAUGGGACAGCCGGGCACUUUAUUCAGGAAAGAUGGAAGAAGUGAAAGAUGUGUUAAAUGGCAAUAACCCCUCGAUGAAGUAUUUCACCAUGUCAGACACCAGUAAAUGAUGGCAGCUGUAUCCAGCCUUGAUUAUUUCAUGUCUAUUUGCAACCUUCCAUUAAAAAAUGUACACGCUCUCUAA